rnacentral:lncRNA from 1 species
CUCAGAGUCUCAUCUACGUGGGUUAUUUUUGUUUCUGUAGACACCUGAUGUGGUCAGAGCUGAGAAUGUCCGUGGGCACACAGCACGUGGACAUCACAGCAGGGUGAAAACUAAUUGGGUUGACUGAAGACUGCAGAACCCACCAUCAUCAUCACCACCUGUGUCCAGGAUGCCACACAUCUCCAUAGAUAAGUGCUCCUCUGGCACAGUAUUUCUCAUUCACUGGUCAUGUGUUGCGACCUCCAACCUCCCUGCAUUCAUGAGACCUUACCAGAGGCAGUGUGGAACAAUGACUGAAAACUUGGCUUUGAGACGAAACUUAAUGCAUUGGAUAUGACCUCCCUACUAUGAGGCAUGGAGUAAGUCAGUUAACCACUUUGAAUUCCAGUAUCCUCCCUGACUAUGACUGUAUACUACAGCCUUUGUAGAACCCAAAUAGCCAU